rnacentral:rRNA from 1 species
GACGAACGCUGGCGGCGUGCUUAACACAUGCAAGUCGAGCGGUAAGGCCCUUUCGGGGUACGACGAGCGGCGAACGGGUGAGUAACACGUGGGUGACCUGCCCUUAGCUCUGGGAUAAGCCUGGGAAACUGGGUCUAAUACCGGAUAUGACCUCAUGACUCAUGUUGUGGGGUGGAAAGCCUUGUGCGGCUAGGGAUGGGCCCGCGGCCUAUCAGCUUGUUGGUGGGGUAAUUGCCACCAAGGCGACGACGGGUAGCCGGCCUGAGAGGGCGACCGGCCACACUGGGACUGAGACACGGCCCAGACUCCUACGGGAGGCAGCAGUGGGGAAUCUUGCGCAAUGGGCGAAAGCCUGACGCAGCGACGCCGCGUGAGGGAUGA